AGCACUUUUACAAACUUAUAAUUGUGUGACAAAGUUCUAGUCCAGUCGAAUACACCUGUAAUGAAUUCGACUAUUCUAAAAUAUUUGUACAGAUUUUGAGAACCAGUGCUCUGUGAUGUUUUGGAUUGAAAAGAAUUUCAAAAUGUUUUUACAUGUGUUAGUCGACUUUGUCCAAUGUACAUUCGACUGUAUUAUUGAUCUGUUUUGG
rnacentral:lncRNA from 1 species